rnacentral:rRNA from 1 species
AUUGAACGCUAGCGGGAUGCCUUACACAUGCAAGUCGAACGGAGCGGCGAACGGGUGAGUAAUGUAUCGGAACGUGCCCAGUAGCGGGGGAUAACUACGCGAAAGCGUAGCUAAUACCGCAUACUAUCGGAGGGGCCGAUUUCGGAUUAGCUAGUUGGUGGGGUAACGGCUCACCAAGGCGACGAUCCGUAGCUGGUUUGAGAGGACGACCAGCCACACUGGGACUGAGACACGGCCCAGACUCCUACGGGAGGCAGCAGUGGGGAAUUUUGGACAAUGGGGGAAACCCUGAUCCAGCCAUCCCGCGUGUGCGAUGAAGGCCUUCGGAUUGUAAAGCACUUUUAGUAGGAAAGCGUUACCUACAGAAUAAGCACCGGCUAACUACGUGCCAGCAGCCGCGGUAAUUC